CCAAAUAAUCUAUGCUUGCAAAUACAAUGGCCGCUACUAUUCAACUUAGAGUUUCAUCAUAUUUCACUAAUCAUUCACGGAUCUUAUCGCUUCAAAACUCAAACUCAAGGAUUCUGCAUAGUAAAUUAUCGAUCAAGUCCAUUGCUUUUAAAGAAAAGUUGCCACCUUUACAAACAGAUGACAAGACCAGAAAUUUGGAGCAACUCAAAAGAAGAAGCCGGGAAGCAUUGUAAAACUCGAGUGAUCCUAUUGAAACAACGAAGAUGAUUGACUCAAUCCAAGGGCUAGGAAUUAGCCACCAUUUGGAGGAUGAGAUCAAUAUACAACUUGAGAGAAUAUGUGAUUGGGAUGCUUCUAGAAACCUCUUUGCAACAUCUCUUCAAUUUCGUUUACUCAGACAUAACGACCGACCCACUUGUUCUGGAGAAAUUCUUCGAUUAUGGGAUGACUUAGGAACUUCAACGGAAUCAGGAGGAACGGAAAAGAGGGGAUAAUGCUUCUAGAAUAGAAUGCUUGAUGGGAGAAAAUAAUAUUACAGAUGAAAAUGAAGGAAGGAAACACAUAAGGCUGUUCAUAGGGAACUUGUGGCGAGAACUCAAUGACCUUGCCAUGACCAAAACCUUGCCCUUAUCUGUUGUUAAAGCUUCUUUUAACAUGGCUAGAACUGCUCAAGUUAUUUAUCAACAUGGAGAUGAUAAAAGCACUUUUACUGUUGAUGAUUAUGUGCAACUAGUCAUUAUGGUGAAAAAGCAUGGUAAAACAUUGAGGAGGGAUAUUCUUACUCCAAGAGUAAGUGUAGAAUAGUUACUCCAAAUCGAUUGAAUAUAAUCACUAUUUUGAUCUUCAUAUUUUCUCU